UUUGGAUAAACAGCGGAUUCUGGCUGAGUCCGCCGCAAACCAAUAUACUCUCUAUGUUAUGGCCGGCCGCCGAUAAGACUUCGAUUAUAUGCUUUGUACCGUACUGAUACAAUGUUAAUCAAAAAAAUACCAUUCCUUUUAAUGUUGGAUCAGCGAGAGGUGAGCGAUUACCAUGGAAAUCCGGCCACACAUGUAUAUUCUUUGUCAGAUACGACACGUUCUGCACAUUUUUCUGUUCAGCCAUAACAAGUAGCAGUUCGGAUAAGUAUUGCUGAAUGUGUCUGAAACAAAUUCGCUUUCGUACACACUUGUUCACGGUCUCUUUUCGAUGAACUUACUUAUUGCCGCCUAAAGUCAUCAAAAUUCCCGGCGUUGCAGGUUGAACAAUAUAAUGUAAAUCGUUAAUGGCAACUUGCGCACCCAAUCGAUUGGAGAAAUUCGAAGACACGUCCGAGGCGUAACAUCCGAUCAUACCGAGACCACCGGCGUGUGCGUCUAUCAAUGAAGUACCAACCGGUGUAUCUUUCAACAAUCCUAAUUCUGCCGCAGCUUUCAUCGAUAAUCCGCACUCAAUUGCAUCACCAGAUCUCGUAAAUUGAGCUGUUCGAAGAAGUCCUCGUUCCAUCCGUUCUUACCAAUGGGAUCGGCGCUAUAGUUCCACUUACAUACUAAUGAACACAACGAUCUGAAACAAGAUAUGAGAUUUUGACUUCCCUUUUAUGUUUUGUUUUUUACUUAUUAAAAAAGUUUUAAAAAAAUUAAA